rnacentral:rRNA from 1 species
AUGGAAGGAGCAGGGGAGGAGAAGCCGCACGCCGUGUGCCUGCCGUUCCCGGCGCAAGGGCACAUCACCCCGAUGCUUAGCGUGGCCAACCUGCUCCACGCCCACGGCUUCCACGUCACCUUCAUCAACUCCGAGUACAACCACGCCCGUCUCGUUCGCACAAGGGGCGCCGCUGCGCUGUCUGGCUCCCCGGGCUUUCGCUUCGCCACCAUCCCCGAUGGCAUGCCGCAGCCGUCGGGCGACGUGGAUGAUGAUGUCACGCAGGACAUCCCGUCGCUUUGCAAGUCCACCCUGGAGACUUGCCUCGGCCCCUUCCGCCGCCUUCUCACCGAGCUCAAUGGUGCGGCCUCCACAGGGGACCACCCAGUCGUGACUUGCAUCGUCUCGGACCUCACCAUGUGUUUCGCCAUGGAUGCCGCCAAAGAGCUAGACGUCCCCUAUGUCCAGCUUUGGACGGCCAGCACCAUUAGCUAUCUCGGAUUCCGUUAUUUCCGUCUCCUCAUUGACCGUGGCAUCGUCCCACUUCAAGAUGUGAAACAGCUGACAGAUGGAUACCUUGACACCCCGGUGGAGGAUAUACCCGGGCUGACGAACAUGAGACUCAGGGACUUCCCUAGCUUCAUCAUGAACCCAGAUGACUACAUGGUGGAGUAUGCCAUCAAAGUAACCGAGAGUGCGGUCGGGGCUUCCGCUGUAAUCGUCAACAGCUUUGACGACCUCGAGGGUGAGGCGGUGGAGGCCAUGGAAACGCUCCUUGGCAGACCCAAGGUCUACACGAUCGGCCCGCUCACUCUGCUAGCCCCGCGCUCGACAGGUACCAUCGGUAGCCUCAGCCUGUGGAAGGAGCAGGAGGAGUGCCUGCAGUGGCUCCACGGCAAGGAGCCCGCCUCCGUCGUCUACGUAAACUUUGGAAGCAUCACAGUCAUGACCAAGGAGCAGCUCCUGGAGUUCGCGUGGGGGCUGGCGAACAGCGGCAGACAGUUCAUGUGGAUCAUCCGUCGCGAUCUUGUCAGGGGCGACGCGGCGGUGCUUCCUCCUGAGUUCAUGGAAGAGACGGCAGGCCGCGGGUUCAUGGCGCCCUGGUGCCCACAGCAGGAGGUGCUGAACCACCCGGCUGUAGGCGUGUUCUUGACACACAGUGGCUGGAACUCGACACUGGAUAGCAUGUGCGGCGGCGUGCCAGUCAUCAGUUGGCCCUUCUUCUCGGACCAGCUUACCAAUUGUCGGUACCAAUGCAACGAGUGGGGCGUCGGCAUGGAGAUCGACAACAACGUCCAGCGCGACGCUGUUACAGGCCUUAUCACGGAACUCAUGCAGGGUGAGAGUGGAAAGAAGAUGAGGAAGAGGGCAGAGGAAUGGCGGGAGAAGGCAAUCUUGGCGGCCAAGCCCGGCGGUUCGUCUCACCGCAAGUUCAAAGAGCUCCUCUGUGAUGUACUUUUGCCUAAGAAAUAG